GUAUGAAUAUCAAAAAAUGACUCUGCGGUGGGACCAGAAAGCUCUACAGUCAACUUCGUUGCUGGCAGGACUCGAACCUGCGCGGGGAGACCCCAAUGGAUUUCUAGUCCAUCGCCUUAACCUCUCGGCCACAACAACACAUAAAAACUAAAAAUAAAUUGAAUUUUGCUAAUAUCAGACACUGGCUAAGUGGCGUAUAUAAAGACUGCCAUGUGAAUAAUUCUGGAAGUGGCGUAUAUAAAGACUGCCAUGUGAAUAAUUCUGGAACACACAUAAUAAGGUAAGGGUGUGGUUUUUACUUGGUAAAUUACCGUUGGUGCUUUUUUCCCUUGUUGGACGGUAUAUUUGAUGGCUCCUCUUAUCAUGACAUUUCCCCACGACUUACCUGAAAACCUUUUAAAUUUGCGCAUAAUAUCUAAUGGAGAUGCCGGGGAUUGAACCCAGGACCUCAUACAUGCAAAGCAUGCGCUCUACCACUGAGCUACAUCCCCUGCACAACUGCCAAAAAUUACUUUGUUUUCGCGUAUAUAAAGGAAGAAGUGUGAGAAAAAAACAAUGAAUGGAGACGUUUCCAAGGGAAAACCUACUAUGACUGGCAAAAAGCUAACUUGGGAAGACUG
ensembl:lncRNA